AACGAACGCUGGCGGCAGGCUUAACAAAUGCAAGUCGAGCGCCCCGCAAGGGGAGCGGCAGACGGGUGAGUAAAGUGUGGGAAUCUACCCAUAUAUACGGAAUAACGCAUGGAAACGUGUGCUAAUACCGUAUACGUACUUCGGGAGAAAGAUUUAUCGGAGAUGGAUGAGCCCGUGUUGGAUUAGCUAGUUGGUGGGGUAAAGGCCUACCAAGGCGACGAUCCAUAGCUGGUCUGAGAGGAGGAUCAACCACACUGGGACUGAUACGCGGCCCAGACUCCUACGGGAGGCAGCAGUGGGGAAUAUUGGACAAUGGGCGCAAGCCUGAUCCAGCCAUGCCGCGUGAGUGAUGAAGGCCCUAGGGUUGUAAAGCUCUUUCACCGGUGAAGAUAAUGACGGUAACCGGAGAAGAAGCCCCGGCUAACUUCGUGCCAGCCGCCGCCGUAACAC
rnacentral:rRNA from 1 species